UAAACAACGUAAACAAUUAUAGAUGACGGGAAAAUAUGGUGUUUUGGUGGCUUUCGAUGACUUAGCCAAGCACGCCCACCCAACCAAGGAUGCCCCGGAGGAUUCUGCGGAGGCAUCACCCAAGUCCAGCUGGUCCAAGUCACUCCUCGCGACUAGGACAGCUCCAUCUCCCCCACAACGACAACUCACUCGCACAUUUCAGUUUCUAGACAUGUACAUUUAAUAUCCACACCUUUACGACCAAACUUGGCCACCGUCUUCGAAUUUACGCGGUCAAAGCAGAAGAUUACCUUCCCUGGGCAAAGGCUACAGGCGCCGCGGAAAUAAUGUUCCACCAGUCACGUAUUGGUGGAACUCGCAGUGAACGAGGCGCACAAAAAGGGCACACACUAUGUAUGUGUCGGGUCACCUAAUCCUGAGGAGCUCCUAGGGAAAAGAAGGGACAGGCCAAACGGUAAGUAGUAUGCGCUGUAAACAAUCCCGCCGAAAACUAAUAAUCGCGACCCUUAUUUACAGGCAACAACGAGGACAAAUUGAGGUUUUCGGGUCUAAGUCCGGAUAAAUUUACAGGUCAACAGCCACUUCUAGGCUAGGCACCGGCAGUAAGCCAGUGGCGAGUCGCCGGAGGACAACUCGGGACCCUUAUAAAGGGACGUGGCGGUCCGGUAACCGGUAUUACGCCGUGCCUAGGCCACUGCAGACCGUGAUGUCCGAGACGCCGCGUGGUAGGGGAGUCGCGUCGUGGUCGCGACGUUGUGCUGCUAGGGUUAUAUGGGCCGGAACGGACUCACCGAGGUAAAGUUGAAUUUUUUUGUGGUUAAAUAACCUAACUGCCUGCGGCGAUGUUGGUUGGCGGUGAUGGCUGUUGCUGUUGCUACUGCUGCUGCUGCCGCCGCCUGUUGCUGAUGCUGCUACUGGUGGCGGAGUACUCCCACGAGGGCUGCUGCCCUUCCUCCGAGAGGAAAUUCAAAAAAACGACGAAAAUCAAAGAAAACUGCCGGGGCCCUAUGUACUAGGGUCCCCGGUGGACCUAAAAUGAAUAAAUAUCUACUUAAU